CCUCAAUCUGCCUUUUCCUGUGAGGACAGGGUGUGAGGACAGCCUGCACACAGAAGAGUCUUCUAUAAGGGUGAGGUUGAGUAUCAUUGGUUUCUGCGCUGAUCUUUAUUGCUUCUCCCAACCCCACCUUACUUUAAGGCAGACAGCUUUUUUAAAAACUUUCAGGCCAGGCACGGUGGCUCACGUCUGUAAUCCCAGCACUUUGGGAGGCUGAGGCAGGUGGAUCACCUGAGGUCAGGAGCUCGAGACCAGCCUGACCAACAUGGAGAAACCCCGUCUCUACUAAAAACACACAAAAAAAUACAAAAUUAGCCGGGCAUGGUAGUGCAUGCCUGUAAUCCCAGCUACUUGGGAGGCUGAGGAAGGAGAAUCACUUGAACCCGAGAGCAAAGGUUGCAGUGAGCCAAGAUCACACCAUUGCACUCCAGCUUGGGCAACAAGAGUGAAAUUCCGUCUCAAAAAAAUAAAUAAAUAAAUAAAUAAAUAAAUAAAUAAAUAAAUAAAAAUUAAAAAAUAAAAAACUUUCAGUACUUUAAAAGUCAUGUUCCUGGCCAGGCACAGUGGCUCACACCUGUAAUCCCAGCACUUUGGGAGGCCGAGG
rnacentral:lncRNA from 1 species